rnacentral:rRNA from 1 species
AGUGAACGCUGGCGGUAGGCCUAACACAUGCAAGUCGAACGGCAGCACAGUAAGAGCUUGCUCUUACGGGUGGCGAGUGGCGGACGGGUGAGGAAUACAUCGGGAUCUACUUUUUCGUGGGGGAUAACGUAGGGAAACUUACGCUAAUACCGCAUACGACCUACGGGUGAAAGCAGGGGAUCUUCGGACCUUGCGCGAUUGAAUGAGCCGAUGUCGGAUUAGCUAGUUGGCGGGGUAAAGGCCCACCAAGGCGACGAUCCGUAGCUGGUCUGAGAGGAUGAUCAGCCACACUGGAACUGAGACACGGUCCAGACUCCUACGGGAGGCAGCAGUGGGGAAUAUUGGACAAAGGGCGCAAGCCUGAUCCAGCCAUACCGCGUGGGUGAAGAAGGCCUUCGGGUUGUAAAGCCCUUUUGUUGGGAAAGAAAAGCAGCAGGUUAAUACCCCGCUGUUCUGACGGUACCCAAAGAAUAAGCACCGGCUAACUUCGUG